GGGGAAUAUUGCACAAUGGGCGCAAGCCUGAUGCAGCCUUGCCGCGUGUAUGAAGACGGCCUUCGGGUUGUAAAGUACUUUCAGCGGGUGGGAAGGUGUUGUGGUUAAUACCCGCAGAAAUUGACGUAACCUGCAGAAGAAGCUCCGGCUAACCCCGUGCCAGCAGCCGCGGUAAUACGGAGGGUGCAAGCGUUAAUCGGAAUUACUGGGCGUAAAGCGCACGCAGGCGGUCUGUCAAGUCGGAUGUGAAAUCCCCGGGCUCAACCUGGGAACUGCAUUCGAAACUGGCAGGCUAGAGUCUUGUAGAGGGGGGUAGAAUUCCAGGUGUAGCGGUGAAAUGCGUAGAGAUCUGGAGGAAUACCGGUGGCGAAGGCGGCCCCCUGGACAAAGACUGACGCUCAGGUGCGAAAGCGUGGGGAGCAAACA
rnacentral:rRNA from 1 species